AUUGAUAUGACAAUGAGUAUGGGUGAAGAAUUAAAGAGAGAGAGAGAGAGAAAGUCCUGGUUUUGUGCCGGUAAUUAAGGGCCUUGGCUUGGGAUGUAUUGUUUUUGCAUUUUGCAAAUCCUGUAUUUGAAGUCAUUUUGGAUAGAGGAUUUUGAUUUGUUUGUGUAUUUUGAGUUUUUUGGUGUUUGUUUUGAUAUGGGUUUUUGAGGUAUUUAGUUUCUUUCACCUCUUU
rnacentral:lncRNA from 1 species